rnacentral:rRNA from 1 species
UACGUAGGGCGCAAGCGUUGUCCGGAAUUAUUGGGCGUAAAGAGCUCGUAGGCGGUCUGUCGCGUCCGUUGUGAAAACUCGAGGCUCAACCUCGGGCUUGCAGUGGAUACGGGCAGACUAGAGUGCGGUAGGGGAGACUGGAAUUCCUGGUGUAGCGGUGGAAUGCGUAGAUAUCGAGAGGAACACCGAUUGCGAAGGCAGCUCGCUGGGACGUUACUGACGCUGAGACGCGAAAGCGUGGGGAGCAAACAGG